rnacentral:lncRNA from 1 species
GAAACCUUCUCUGCUGUGAUCAUUAACCUUUCUGGAGAACACAACAAGCUGUGCUCUGAGGUCUGUCUUUAGAAUGUGAGGAGAGCCACACAGAUACCACAGAGACUAUUCAAAGAGGGGUUACCUUGUGAGCUUUAGCUCCACUGUGGAUUGGCAGAAAAAUGAGAUUUCACCAGUUCUUUCUUCUAUUUGUUAUUUUUAUGUUGAGUCUUCUACUUAUCCACGGA